rnacentral:tRNA from 1 species
GGAGAGAUGUCCGAGUGGUUGAAGGAGGCGGUCUCGAAAACCGUUGUGCGGGGUAACCCGUACCGUGGGUUCGAAUCCCACUCUCUCCGCCA